AUACUUACCAGCAGGGGGAUAACAUGAUCAUAAAGAUGCUUUUCCCAGGGUGAAGCUUCUCCAUUGCACUCCAGGUGUGCUGACCCCUGCAAUUUCCCCAAAUGUGGGAAACUCUACUGUAUAAUUUGUGGUAGUAGGGACACUUUGUGGAAGUGGGGACUGUGUUCCCUC